GGAAGGUGAGAGCAGUCGGAGAUAUGUAGAACUGCAGCGAACCGCUUGUCAGGAUUUAAGACAGAACUCAAAGCCAGAAUGCAUCCCUUUGAGUUCCAUACAUUCUACACUCCCUGAGAAGUCAAGACAUCACGUCUGAAGCCCAAGUGUAUGAAAAAUGAAACCAGCUGAAACAGGAAGGCUUUUUUGCAGACAGAUUACUACUAUGGGACAUCUAAAAAAGUACUGUGGAAACCCAAGCCUAGUCUAUAUAGGAGGCGGGAAAAAUGCAGAGCAACCCUUUACAGCACAAGGAACACAUGAGGGAAGAGAGAGUGUUGGCAGACUGAGUAGGCAGUGGAAGCAGACAUUUUCCAUCCGUUUGCAGAAUGUCAAGCUGCUGUGACUGGGGCAGGACGUGACAACGUCUGCUGUCCUGCAGCCAGCCCCGACCACGAGCAUCUGCAGGACAAUGGGCACUGCGCUCUCCAGCGACACCAAUUGAGGACUAAAAGUUGGAAAUAGGAACUUGGACAUCAUUUAAAAAUGAGGUCCCACUCUGCUGGAAAGAAGCAAGGCUACAAGUGAGAUGUAUGACCAUUGCAGACAAGCCCUGAUAACUGUCAGUACUUCUCCUUUGUCAUGAAGAACAUCACAAAGCAACUUAACUGAAUAAGAUGAACACCAGAAAAAUAAAUAUGGCUUAGCAAAAUGCACACACAGCCUGAACUUGUAAGCUGUUAAGAUCUGGAUACAGCCAUGGGUGGAAUUUUUGAACAGAGGACCACCAAGCAACUACCUCCUUGCARCACUUCGCUACUAGAGUCCAGUACAGCCCAUCAUAGAUCCUUUUUAUACAACAGGUAUGUGGCAAACCUGUGUGGCUGUAGCAUUACUGAAAAUAAAAGACAUUUUCCUGUCAGCUGUAUUUUUGUAACCGAGAAUAACAACAUAUUUGCAAUCACUAUGUUGAUUUUCAACAAAAAAUAGCAUUUCCUGUGCUUAGUACACACCGA